rnacentral:rRNA from 1 species
ACGGCAGCACAGUAAGAGCUUGCUCUUAUGGGUGGCGAGUGGCGGACGGGUGAGGAAUACAUCGGAAUCUACCUUUUCGUGGGGGAUAACGUAGGGAAACUUACGCUAAUACCGCAUACGACCUUCGGGUGAAAGCAGGGGACCUUCGGGCCUUGCGCGGAUAGAUGAGCCGAUGUCGGAUUAGCUAGUUGGCGGGGUAAAGGCCCACCAAGGCGACGAUCCGUAGCUGGUCUGAGAGGAUGAUCAGCCACACUGGAACUGAGACACGGUCCAGACUCCUACGGGAGGCAGCAGUGGGGAAUAUUGGACAAUGGGCGCAAGCCUGAUCCAGCCAUACCGCGUGGGUGAAGAAGGCCUUCGGGUUGUAAAGCCCUUUUGUUGGGAAAGAAAAGCAGUCGAUUAAUACUCGGU